rnacentral:rRNA from 1 species
CGGGACGGGUGAGUAAUGUCUGGGAAACUGCCUGAUGGAGGGGGAUAACUACUGGAAGCGGUAGCUAAUACCGCAUAACGUCGCAAGACCAAAGAGGGGGACCUUAGGGCCUCUUGCCAUCGGAUGUGCCCAGAUGGGAUUAGCUAGUAGGUGGGGUAACGGCCCACCUAGGCGACGAUCCCUAGCUGGUCUGAGAGGAUGACCAGCCACACUGGAACUGAGACACGGUCCAG